GGUUGAUCCUGCCAGUAGUCAUAUGCUUGUCCUAAAGAUUAAGCCAUGCAUGUCCAAGUAUAAGCGAUUGUACGGUGAAACUGCGAAAGGCUCAUUAAAUCAGUGAUAGUUUACAUGAUGAAGACGAUUACAUGGAUAACCGUGGUAAUUCUAGAGCUAAUACAUGCGCUGAGGGGUGGCGAGAGCGGCCUCUGCAUUUAUUAGAUAAAACCAAAUCAAGGCAACUUGAGUUAUGGCGAGUCAUGAUAACUGAGCGGAUCGUAUGGCCUCGAGCUGACGACGCAUCAUUCAAA
rnacentral:rRNA from 1 species